CUGUUUAUCAGCACAUCACAGAAGGAUGUGGUGGAACAAAAACAGACCAUUUUAAACAUGAUGCUGAGAAAAUUAAUACGACCACAGAAAAAGGUGUUAUGGGUGUCACAGGACUGACAACUGCAGUUUUUAUAGGUUACAAAUUACUUGCAAGAAAUCAGUAAAGCAUUUACUGCACAGUAUAAAACAAAUACGGUUGUGUAUUUCCUGUGAAAUGCUUAAUGGUGUACGAGACAAGAGACUAUAUCGAUUGCAGAAAAGCAAUAGCUGCAACAAUUGUCCACUUGUUCAAGACUAUUUUCACUCUAGGCAAACGCAUUGAACCACAUGCAUUCUGUUCCUGUGCAAUGAGUAUUAGCACACAUACAUCAGCCUCACACUCACUUUAAGAGCGCUACCCAGAAAUGAAGUAGUGGCAAGAAAGAAAUGAACGAUCUUUUGAAAAGUAAUGCUAAGGGAACAGAAUAUUUUACAAUGCUUGGUUAGUACUGCUUUAAUGUUGGAUAUUGGAGAGUCAUUUUUACUUGGUACUCUAGUUGUCUUAUAGCAUCUACGCUUACAUUACAUGUACUGAAGUUCAAAAAGACAACCAGAGUACCAAGUAAAAAUGACUCUACAAUAUCCAACAUUAAAGCAUUAAUGACUAUAUUGGACUGGGCAGCAAAGAGUUAAUAAACGUUCAUUUUAUCUGAAUAGCGUAGAUAAAACAAGGUACAAUAAAAUCACCCUGAUAUUAUUUGUUAAUUAUUAGUCACAUGCUUAAGUGCUUUUAAACAAAUGGAACCCCAUAUUGCGAUGAUAUGAUUGAUCCUAGAGAUCCCUAAAUAGCGAUCUGAUGUUUGCAGAACAGUUUUAGUUUGCUUUUUCAGUAGCUCAUAAAUAAGUGACUACUUUAAAAGCAGUGACAAAAAACAGCUUAUGUGGUUGAUGUUGCUUUCUGUUGAAAAAACGGAACUUCUGCUGCUUCUGCUUUUCAGUUUUAAAAAUAGGGAGUUUGACCAACAGUGUGAAACAGCCAUCAGUGAAGGACAGUCUGUUCAGUUCAACUAGAGAGAUUUCCAGUUUGGUUCUCUAAAGACACACAAGAACAUGAUUGCUACGGAAAAGUUGCUUCUGAUUUCCUGCCUUUUUCAAGGUAUAAUUUGCAAUGAAUUUAAAGUCUUCAUGCCUCAGCGUAUUAAACCCUUGAGCGGCUCCUGUGUGCUGAUUCCAUGUACAUUCACAAUUGAAGAGAAGUGUGAGAAGGAUAUGGUGGAACCGGCCAAAGGAAUUUGGAUGACUUCUUUUGAAUUCAAAGAUAUUGUAUUUGACUCCAGUAGAAAUGAUAGCGAGAAUACCCUGAAAGCAAAUCUACUUGGUAACGUGACUAUCAAGAAUUGCACCACAAUAAUACAUCAUUUAAAAAACAGUGAUUCAAAAAGUUAUUUCUUCAGAGCGGUACCUCCUAAAUACACCUUUCAUCAGAAUGUUUUGCUUGAAGUUGCAGACUCUCCGGACAGACCAGCGAUCAGCCCAUCGAGUGCAGUGAAGGAGGGAGCUCCCACGAAUUUAACCUGCACUGCUCCAGCCCCGUGCCCAAGAGGACCUCCAGCCCUGGUGUGGAGCGACACUCUGAACGGGAGUGUGGAGAUAGAGCAGGUUGAGCAGCAGGAUGGGACCAAGGCUGUAUCUUCUGUUCUGACGUUCACUGCCUCACAUCUGCACCACAACAAGGACAUCACAUGCACUGCGCAGUAUACAGUGGGGUCUGAAAGUAAAAGUGCUGGAGAAGUCUCGACUCUUCAUGUUCUCUAUUCACCGAAGAACACGUUGGUUUUAAUAAACCCUUCUGGUGAAAUACAUGAAGGAGGUCAUGUGACACUGAGCUGCAGCAGCAAUGCAAACCCAGCAGUGAGCCGCUACACCUGGUUUGAAGUGAAGGGAGAUAAUAUCAACGAGAAAAGUGCUGAACAGUACCUCACUUUUACUGACAUUAACCAGAGUGACAGUGGACUGUACUACUGUGAAGCAAGGAAUGAGCAUGGGGCAGAGAACUCGACAGCCCUGCAGCUGAAUGUAGCAUCUCCUGCAACUCCAUGUAUUUAUGUUGUCAUGGGAACAGCGGCUGUUCAGAUGUUAGCCACCAUUUUGGUUGUUGUAUUCAUAAUGAAAAGAAAGAGAAAGGUAAGUCUGGAUUUUUUCAUUUGCUCAGUUUUGCUUAAUACUGUGGAACUGGUUCUAUGUUCUAUUAGAAUAUAUGAACUGUUAAAAUACUAGGACAGCAGCUGUCUCUAUACUGUGAACCCCUUUAUAGACUCUUAAGUAAUAUUUGCAUUACAUUUAGUGAUGAGGAACAGCCAGUGAUUCUGUAGUAUUGUUAAGCUUACAGCUGUGGCCAAAAGUUUAGCAUCACCUAGAAUUUUAGGAUUGAGACAUCACUAAAAAAAAGAAAAAAAAACUACAUGAACAUAAUUUAGAUCUUUUAUUUUUUAUCAUGUAAUCAAAUAAUAAUCAAAUAUCUUUUAUCAUGUAAUCAAAAAAUACUACAAAAUGAUAUCGCAAAAACUCCACAGGAAGCCAUAAUAGUAGUAGAGUAGUAUUUUAUGUUAGAUUUCGAAAUGUCACAUUUUUGUCAGUUUUCCGUUGAGUAUAUGGCAAACUGCGAAGCGGUAUGUAGUUCAAUAUGUUAACGUAACAUUAUUCAGCAGGUUUCAUUCGACUUCAUGAAGCAAAAUUAGAUCAUUCUAUUGGGCGCUGCAAAACUUUUGCCCAUAGCUGUAUUUUAGUGAUUAAACUCAAAUAAAACUAAUAGCUUGCAAAUAAAAUGGUGUUGAAAUGGUUUUGAAAUCUUGGGUUGGAUUGUUUCUAUAGGCUGAGCAUCGUGGCAGAGAAAAUAACCCCUUUGGGGCUCUCCAGCUCUCAAACGCCGGUCAGAACUCAAAGGAUGAUGCUGAGGUCACUUAUGCUGCACUGAACACAUGAGCUGUUUCCUCAGACUAUGAAGAAAUAUGCAAGAAGUAACCAGGAUGGAAAUCUUUGCUCUAAUUGAUAAUGCUGGCGGCUGAUAAAAUUUACUGCCUUCAUUUUGUGAACAGUAAUGCUACUCUUUAGUCCUUCACUGUUUGCUUAGCUUUAAGAGGCUUUAUUGAACUGGAGCUUCAUUUAUGGCAAAAGAAUGCAAUUCUGUUUUAAAGCACAGAUAUAAAAAUGUGCAUCUCCAGUCAAAAUGUAUUUCACACAGUAUUUUUUAUUGUUUUUUUUUUAUUUCACAAUAUUGUAAAACCAAAAAAAAAGAUUUGAAUAUAUUUAGCAAUCAUGACCUGCUACAUAUAUUGUAUCAUCUGUAAAGUGUUCAAUAUGGUAGAUAAGUCAUCUACAAUACACUGCACUUUUUUUAACACAUAUUUUACAAUAUAUUCCAAUGUAUUUUAUGUUUCUUGAGGGGUGAUGUCUUUCUCAGUUUUAAUUUCAAAUAAAUAAUGAAACUUC